GCGCUCGUAGCUCAACGGAUAGAGCAGGGGCUUUCUAAGCCCAAGGUUGCAGGUUCGAUUCCUGCCGGGCGCACCA
rnacentral:tRNA from 1 species